rnacentral:lncRNA from 1 species
AAAAAAAGAAGAAGGAAAUGAAUAAUGGAAAUAAAAAUGGCAAAAAUACAAAUGCAUUAAAUGAAGUACAAUGUACCAAUCAUCAUAUGUUGACCAAUAACAUUGAAAGUUAAAGUCAAACAAUCAAAAAUAGAAGUGGAAUGAAGAUUGGAAGUCAAGAAAUGAACAAAAUAUUUUUGGCAUUUUUAAAUAUUUAAAAUUAAACUUGAAUUAAA